GCGUAUAUAGUUCAGUGGUAGAGCAUGAGCUUAGCAGGCAUGGGGCCCUGGGCUCAAUUCCCAGCACACACA
rnacentral:tRNA from 1 species